AAAGAAACCAACAGGGAUUGCCUUAGUAGCGGCGAGUGAACCGGCAAAAGCUCAGAUUUGAAAGCCUUUCGGGGCAUUGUAUUCUGAAGCCUUGGUCCUGGGAACCGAUGUCCAAGUCUUCUGGAAAGGAGCGCCAUGGAGGGUGAUAGCCCCGUACGACAUUGACCCCAUUGUAGGACUUUGGCAUGGAGUCGAGUUGUUUGGGAAUGCAGCUCAAAUGGGUGGUAUGCUCCAUCUAAAGCUAAAUAUCUGCGAGAGACCGAUAGCGAACAAGUACUGUGAAGGAAAGAUGAAAAGAACUUUGAAAAGAGAGUGAAAUAGUAUGUGAAAUUGUUGAAAUGGAAGGGUAGGCCGCUAACCAUGCAGGGUCGUGUCUGGGGGAAGGAUAAAAGCUGAAGAACGUAGCUCCUCGGAGUGUUAUAGCUUCAGUCCAUACUUCCAUCCGGCGCGAGG
rnacentral:rRNA from 1 species